rnacentral:lncRNA from 1 species
UGAAAAUGCCAUCUGACCAGUUGAAGGGAAUCAGGGGAAGCUUUCUAAAGGAAGUGGCAUUUGGUCUAUACGUUGAGGGGCAGGUAAAUAUCUGAGUGGAAUGACUGGAUCAUAUGGUACAGUCAUGUGCCGCAUAAUGACAUUCAGUCAAUGACAGACUGCAUAUAUGAGGUGGUCCUGUAAGGUGAUAAUGGAGCUGAAAAAUUCCUACUACUGAACGACAUCAUAGCCAUUGUAACAUCAUAGCACAACCAAUCACCUUUUCUAUAUUUAGGAGCAAAGGCAAUACAAUGGAGAAGACAGUCUUUUAACAAAGGUGCUGGAAUAACUGGACAGCCAUGCACACACACAGAAAAGAAUCGAGACACAGACUUUACAUCUUCACAAAGGUACAACACUGAAGGCACCGCCCAUGAAAGAAACAACUGAUAGGCUGAACUCCAUUAAAAUUAAAAGCUUUUGCUCUGCAAAUACAAGAGAAUGAGAACACAAACCGUGAUGCUGAAGUUACAAGUCUGAACCACACGUAGACUAUCAUAGCAAGAUGGCUACAGAAGUUCUGGAAAUAUACCAGACGUGGCAAUGCUGCAGAGGAAGGAGGGAGAAUAUGCCUUUCUGCAGAUCUUUCUUGGAGGAGAGAUAAGGAGUUCAUAUGCUGGAAUGAUAGUGACACAGGAGUUUAACACUCCUACAGUAUCCAGAGCCUGGAUCCCUGAGUCAUCAGAUGGAGAAGAACUACUCAGGAGAGUCAUCCAACCUUCAUAGACAGUGGCAUGAGUGGG